GGAGAGGGAGAGCUCGUGAGUUCUAGAGAGAGAGGGGUAGAAGAAAAACGUGAAGAGAAGAAGAAGAGAAGGAGAAGAGAAAGAAGAAGAGGAGGAUAAGAGAAAGAAGAGGCCAAGACUAGGGAUCCUAAGAUUUGGAUUUUGUUGCAAGAGGAUUGGAGGCUAGGGUUCGAAAUUCCGAGGGUAAGUAUUUGGGUUCAUAGUGAGGUUGUUAGUUUCUACAUCUUCUUGAAUCUAAGAACGUUUUUUUUUCUUUGCUUUUGUGUGUUGUAUUCGAAAUCCCUAGGGGGAUUUCAUCAAGAUGGUGGCCAUAAUUUUGGUUCUUAAAUACUUUCAAGAGAGGAUGCCCCCACGCCAUACACACCCCGAUGAUAGAACUUCCCACAUCACCACAUGUGCCAAAGAGAAAACCUAUUUGCUACCUGGAAGGGAAAGUCAGGGGGUGAGCUAAAAGCCCAGUAAGGAAGUACAAAUAACA